ACAUGCCUACAACUUAGCGUUAAUGCACUAGAUCCCAUUAGAACAUUUAAGCGCGCUCAGGCUAGAGUAGUAUAGGGAUGGGUGAUCGCCCAGGAAGUCCUACUAUUUUACAUGCC
rnacentral:rRNA from 1 species